rnacentral:rRNA from 1 species
AAUGAACGCUGGCGGCAUGCCUAACACAUGCAGGUCGAGCGGAUGAAGGGAGCUUGCUCCUGGAUUCAGCGGCGGACGGGUGAGUAAUGCCUAGGAAUCUGCCUGGUAGUUGGGGAUAACGUCCGUAAACGGGCGCUAAUACCGCAUCCGUCCUGAGGGAGAAAGUGGGGGAUCUUCGGACAUCACGCUAUCAGAUGAGCCUAGGUCGGAUUAGCUAGUUGGUGGGGUAAAGGCCUACCAAGGCGACGACCCGUAACUGGUCUGAGAGGAUGAUCAGUCACACUGGAACUGAGACACGGUCCAGACUCCUACGGGAGGCAGCAGUGGGGAAUAUUGGGCAAUGGGCGAAAGCCUGACCCAGCCAUGCCGCGUGUGUGAAGAAGGUCUUCGGAUCGUAAAGCACUUUUAGUUGGGAGGAAGGGCAGUAAGUUAAUACCUUGAUGUCUUGACGGUACCAACAGAAUAAGCACCGGCUAACUUCGUG